rnacentral:rRNA from 1 species
UACGGGGGGAGCAAGCGUUGUUCGGAUUUACUGGGCGUAAAGGGCGCGUAGGCGGCCACCGCAAGUCGGUUGUGAAAUCUCUGGGCUUAACCCAGAAAGGUCAACCGAUACUGCGGGGCUAGAGUGCAGAAGGGGCAACUGGAAUUCUCGGUGUAGCGGUGAAAUGCGUAGAUAUCGAGAGGAACACCUGCGGCGAAGGCGGGUUGCUGGGCUGACACUGACGCUGAGACACGAAAGCGUGGGUAGCAAACAGG